AGUUUAACAAGAGCAACUGCCAGAUUUUGCACGUGUGAUGGGGUAUUCCUGGUUGUACGUACAGGUUGGGGGAUGAGAUGCUGGAGAGCAGCCCCACAGAAAAGGCACUGUGCGGCCUCACUUCCAGCACUAGAGUAUUUCCUGUUUUAGUAUCAAAAGAAAAAAAAAUUACCGUGCAGACAAUAGGAACGUAUAUGGCCAUUGAAAAGAUGAAGUCUUGCCUUAAAACAGUAGGUAUGAAUCCUCAUUAGGACCAGAUGAAGUUCACAAGAUCUAAGCUGCCCAAAGCCAGCAGAGGUGUUCUCAAAGUGAAGACUCCCACACAUUUGGAGUGGGAAAUGCUGAACUUGCCUGCUGAAGAAGUUUGGGACCAUGGUGGAAAGAAGAGUCUGAAAACAUAGGGGACUCCAGGAAAAUAACUGAAUAUAAAGAUCUUCUGUCAAUUUCACCUUCACUUUCACCUAUAAUUACACACUGAAGACACACUCUGUGCGUGGAGAAUGGGGCACCUCACUAUCUCAGUUACAUCUUCAGCUUCCCAAAUGGACACAGAGAAUAAAUGGAUUGGUUUACUCUUUCAGUAAGUAAAUAGUUUGGUUUUCUUUGUUUAUUUUAAGGCCUAUGAUUAAGCUGCAUCUAUCUUGAGUUUAGGGUGGUUUUAAGAGAACAGGCUGACAUCUGGAUGUUCUGUAAUUCUCAGUGUGUUGACGUUGGCAGCCCAGUUUCUGAACCGCUAUGGAGUCACUGGAGCUCAUUGAAUAACACAGGUUGAAGCGAGCCCAGGGGGGUCUGUGUGCCAACCUCCUGUACACAACAGGUCUAACUUGCAGACCAGGUCAGGCUGCUGGGGGCUUUUUAUCCAGCUGAAAAUUUCCAGUGAUGGAGAUGACACAGAUUGUCCGGGCAUUCUGCUCCACUGAUUAACCAUCCAUGUAUAUAUUUAGUAACCAAAUGGACCUUUUGUGUUACUCCUUUUGCUCCGUACAUUUUGUCCAACUUUUUCUGUGCACUGCUGAGAAUGGUCUCUGUCCAUUCAGAUCCUCACCAUCAGAAUGAAGAACACCACCCAGCCCCAGCAUCCUAAUGCCUUCCAAAAGCAAACAAUAAAAAUACUGCCUGGAUCAAUCAGUGGAAAUAUUUCAAGUCUUCUCUCACCCAUCUCUACUCAGCACUGUGAUGGCUGAAGACUUCAGUUUAAUUAAACUCUGGAAGGGACUUGGGUUGAUCCUUCUGCACUUCUGUUUUUAAUGUCACACCUGUCCUGCAGAGGGACCCUGGCAGGGGGAGUAAAGCAGGACCACACUUUCUGCAGGGCAACAGUGAGAACUGGAAUUAGGUCUCUGUCCAUUAGUCAAAUGCUAAACCCCCAUUAGUGAAAUGAUGACAACCUAUCAGGGCCACUCAGAUGUGUCCCUUUGGAGUCAUAGAGAGCUGUUUAGAAAAGAUUAAAGCUUGCUAUAAGGGCAGUAAAUGAGAAUUAUCUGCACAUGAUGAUUCCACGCUCAGUCCCCUACCUGCAGCGUUUCAUGAAGCCACAGGCUCUGCUGUCAAACUGGUUCCCACUCAAAAUAAAAAAUA
ensembl:lncRNA